UACGUAGGGUGCGAGCGUUAAUCGGAAUUACUGGGCGUAAAGCGUGCGCAGGCGGUCUGUUAAGACCGAUGUGAAAUCCCCGGGCUUAACCUGGGAACUGCAUUGGUGACUGGCAGGCUUUGAGUGUGGCAGAGGGAGGUAGAAUUCCACGUGUAGCAGUGAAAUGCGUAGAGAUGUGGAGGAAUACCGAUGGCGAAAGCAGCCUCCUGGGCCAACACUGACGCUCAUGCACGAAAGCGUGGGGAGCAAACAGG
rnacentral:rRNA from 1 species